CAGACUCCUACGGGAGGCAGCAGUAGGGAAUAUUGCGCAAUGGGGGAAACCCUGACGCAGCAACGCCGCGUGGAGGAUGACACUUUUCGGAGCGUAAACUCCUUUUCUUAGGGAAGAAUUCUGACGGUACCUAAGGAAUAAGCACCGGCUAACUCCGUGCCAGCAGCCGCGGUAAUACGGAGGGUGCAAGCGUUACUCGGAAUCACUGGGCGUAAAGGGCGCGUAGGCGGAUUAUCAAGUCUCUUGUGAAAUCUAAUGGCUUAACCAUUAAACUGCUUGGGAAACUGAUAGUCUAGAGUGAGGGAGAGGCAGAUGGAAUUGGUGGUGUAGGGGUAAAAUCCGUAGAUAUCACCAAGAAUACCCAUUGCGAAGGCGAUCUGCUGGAACUCAACUGACGCUAAGGCGCGAAAGCGUGGGGAGCAAACAGGAUUAGAUACCCUGGUAGUCCACGCCCUAAACGAUGUACACUAGUUGUUGGGGUGCUAGUCAUCUCAGUAAUGCAGCUAACGCAUUAAGUGUACCGCCUGGGGAGUACGGUCGCAAGAUUAAAACUCAAAGGAAUAGACGGGGACCCGCACAAGCGGUGGAGCAUGUGGUUUAAUUCGAAGAUACGCGAAGAACCUUACCUGGGCUUGAUAUCCUAAGAACCUUUUAGAGAUAAGAGGGUGCUAGCUUGCUAGAACUUAGAGACAGGUGCUGCACGGCUGUCGUCAGCUCGUGUCGUGAGAUGUUGGGUUAAGUCCCGCAACGAGCGCAACCCACGUAUUUAGUUGCUAACGGUUCGGCCGAGCACUCUAAAUAGACUGCCUUCGUAAGGAGGAGGAAGGUGUGGACGACGUCAAGUCAUCAUGGCCCUUAUGCCCAGGGCGACACACGUGCUACAAUGGCAUAUACAAUGAGACGCAAUACCGCGAGGUGGAGCAAAUCUAUAAAAUAUGUCCCAGUUCGGAUUGUUCUCUGCAACUCGAGAGCAUGAAGCCGGAAUCGCUAGUAAUCGUAGAUCAGCCAUGCUACGGUGAAUACGUUCCCGGGUCUUGUACUCACCGCCCGUCACACCAUGGGAGUUGAUUUCACUCGAAGCCGGAAUACUAAACUAGUUACCGUCCACAGUGGAAUCAGCGACUGGGGUGAAGUCGUAACAAGGUAACCGUAGGAGAACCUGCGGUUGGAUCACCUCCUUUCUA
rnacentral:rRNA from 1 species